UAAGUAAGCGGAGGACAAGAAACUAAAUAGGAUUCCCUCAGUAAUGGCGAAUGAACAGGGAUGAGCUCAGCAUGGAAAUUGGGGUCUCCCGACCUUGAAUUGUAGUCUUGAGAUGUACUGCCAACGGAGGCGCAGAUGUAAGCCUCUUGGAAAAGAGCAUCAACGAGGGUGAGAGUCCCGUUUGUCAUCUGCAGUCCCCCGUGCACGGUGUACAUUCUAAGAGUCACGUUCCUCGGGAUUGGAGCGCAAAGUGGGUGGUAAAUUUCAUCUAAAGCUAAAUAUUGGUUCG
rnacentral:rRNA from 1 species